GAGGAAGAUAUUUUUCUGCUUUUUUGGUUUUUCUUCGCAAUACACCCUGACAGGGUUUAAAAAAAUGCUACAGUAAACUUAGUAAUAAACUGUCUAUCAUGGGCCACGACUACACUGGGACAUGUGGCAGGGAUGCUACUUAACGGCCGGCAGGGAUCACCGUACCUUUUCUGUCCAAGUGUGUAUAGCAUCGUAAUGAACAUCUGACUUGGCAAGAUU
rnacentral:lncRNA from 1 species